rnacentral:rRNA from 1 species
UACGUAGGGUGCAAGCGUUGUCCGGAAUUAUUGGGCGUAAAGAGCUCGUAGGCGGUUUGUUGCGUCGGCUGUGAAAACCCGGGGCUCAACCCCGGGCCUGCAGCCGAUACGGGCAGACUAGAGUUCGGCAGGGGAGACUGGAAUUCCUGGUGUAGCGGUGAAAUGUGUAGAGAUCGGGAGGAACACCGGUGGCGAAGGCGGUCUUCUGGACGGUGACUGACGCUGAGGCGCGAAAGCGUGGGGAGCAAACGGG